UCGACAGGAGCUCCCCCAUGGCGACUCGAUUCCAACCCUAGCUGAACCGGCCGCCGCGCGCAUCUCCGGCGCUCUCGUCGGGAUCCAUCUCCGGUGAGCUUGUUCUCCGGCCGCCCUCGCUCGCCCGCCCCUCCAAGUGAUUCCGCUGCCACGGGGAUUCGUUGCCGCCACGGAGGACAUUGCCGCUGUGAACAAGGCUUUCUUCCCAACCUCUGAUUCUUCUUCUUCAUCAAUUGCGCCUGGAAUUAGAAGUUUAUUUGAAGAAUGGCCGCCAUCAAUUGGAAUGAUGAUAAUACUAGAAUUAUCACCGAGUUGUUUGCCGACCAAGUUCACCGUGAAAAUCGUCCAAAUAGCCACCUGAAUAAUGUUGCAUAUGAGGAGAUUUCCCAGAGGUUUAAAGAUAAAACCGGCAUUGAGUCAAAGAAGACGCAAAUCAAGAAUAAAUGGGAUAAAUUGAAGAACGAGUAUGACAUAUGGAAAAAGUUGUUGUUGGAACAAACAGGUGCUGGCUGGGAGGGGGAACCAUCAACCAGGACGUCGAAUGGUGGAGGAAGGCCAAAGUGGACAUUCCUGGUUGUGGAAGGUUUCAAAACAAAGGUAUUCGUAAUGAGGACAAUCUGAGACUUAUCUUUGAAGAUAUCACUAAUGAUGGACAUGAUCAUUGGUGUCCUACUUGGGAGACUUGCCCCGACCAAGCAUUGUAGAAGAUGUUGUUAAUCUUGAUGGCGAGGACGGUAUUGACAUUGAUGAGCUAGAUGAGUCUUUGAGCAAUGUAAAAGGGAAAAAGAGAGGUGCAAAGGUUGUGGGUGACAAGUCCAAGAAGUCGAAGACAUCUCAGGUCAUGCAAGAUGAGAUGAAAAAGGUUGGUGCCUUGGCUGAAAAGACACAAUCGUCGUUGGAAUCUUUUACAACAAGAAAUGAUACAUGUUCCGUUGCUACAAUGAUGGAUUUGGUGAUCGAAUGUGGUGGAGCUUAUGGUACUAAUGAGCAUUUUAUUGCCACCGAGCUAUUUGUGAAAAGGGAGCAAAGAGAGAUGUUCCUCCACAUGCCAACCCCAGAUAUUCGUUUUGAAUGGCUUAAAAGAAAGUACGAGGCAAAAUAUGCUCGUUAGAUAGCUAUUUGAAUGUAAUAAUUCUGAAGUUAUUUUGGCCGCCUAUGAACCUGUAAUAAUUCUGAAGUUAUUUUGAC